GCCUCCUCCACCACCUAUGGCUCCUGGUGUCAAAUCUGGUCCACCUCCACCACCACCUCCUCCAAAGGGUGGUCCAGCUCCUUCCCAACCACCUCCACCGUUACCAAUGGGUUCAAAGGUUCCUCGACCUCCAACUGGAUUGAAGCAUCCUCCUAAUGCAGCACCAGGUGAAAGGGAUGGUGCAGAGGGUGAUGCCAAUAAUCCUAAAGCCAAGCUGAAGCCAUUUUUCU
rnacentral:misc_RNA from 1 species